UACGUAGGUGGCAAGCGUUGUCCGGAAUUACUGGGCGUAAAGCGUGCGCAGGCGGUUAGACAAGCCAGAUGUGAAAUCCCUGGGCUUAACCUAGGAACUGCAUUUGUGACUGUUUGGCUAGAGUGUGUCAGAGGGGGGUGGAAUUCCACGUGUAGCAGUGAAAUGCGUAGAGAUGUGGAGGAACACCGAUGGCGAAGGCAGCCCCCUGGGGUAACACUGACGCUCAUGCACGAAAGCGUGGGGAGCAAACAGG
rnacentral:rRNA from 1 species